GAACCGGUAUCUCAGUGGUAGAGCUCAUGUAUGUGGUGAGCAAUAACUACGAGGAGGUCGCAAGUUUGAAUCCUGCCCGGCUAA
rnacentral:tRNA from 1 species